rnacentral:ncRNA from 1 species
UUAAAAUUUAAAUUUAGUUUGGUAAUUUAGUGUUAUUUUUUAUUAAAUAUAAGAGUUUUUAGAAAAGAGGGAGUAAUAAUUAAUUUUAAUUAUUUAGGAAGUUAAGAAUUAGAAAUAAUAUGUAGUUUUAACUUUAUUUGUGCCAGCAGUUGCGGUUAUACAAAUAAAGCAAUUAAAUUAGGUUGAUUUUAAUUGAUAGAUAUUUUUAUUUUAUAAUAUUAAAUUUUAGAUGAAAUUUUAUUUAUUAUUUAAAAUAUUCUUAUUUAUAUGAAGUUAAAAAAGAUUAAUAUUAAACUAGGAUUAGAUACCCUAUUAUUUAAUUAGUAGUUGUAAAAAUUAAAUUAUUAAUAGUUAAGUUCUUUAAAAUUAAAAAUUUUGGCGGUAUUUUAGUCUAUUCAGAGGAACCUGUACUAUAAUUGAUAAUCCACAAUUUAUUUUACUUUGUUUAUUAGUUUAUAUAUCAUUGUAAAAAAUAUUUUAAAAAAUUAAUGUUUAAAAUUUUUUAUAAAAAAAUAGUUCAAAUCAAGGUAUAGUUUAUAAUAAAGAAUGUUAUGGGUUACAUUUAAGAUAUUAAGAGAUAAUUAUUUGAAAAAUAAUUUGAACUUGGAUUUGAAAGUAAAUUUACUAAAUUUAUUUUUUUGAUUUAGCUCUAAAAUAUGCACAUAUCGCCCGUCGCUUUCAAUUUGAUGAAAUAAGUCGUAACAAAGUAGAUUUACUGGAAGGUGAAUCUAGAUUAUC